rnacentral:snoRNA from 1 species
UUCGACAAUACUUCAUAGAAUCAUUUCUAGUAAGAAAAUUCCCCUCACCCUCUACUGGUCCUACCUCUUGCUGACCAUACUCCCUCUUCUACAGAAGUAAACGUCCUUCUCUGAGCUUCUCAAAAAAGCCACAGACCCGCUCUCGAGGAUGAGACUUUCCCCGGUGCCUAAGAGUGAGGCCUUUGCUUUCGCACUGUCCGCAAGGAUGGCGGUGUCCGCGCAAGCGUUCACUGUAUAGAGAGCGGCGAUGAUCUCGACCCUAAUGACUUGCGCUUCGGCCAUGCCAUUGGGGUAGGUGCUGGUGGAUGUCUGAGAGAC